GUUCUUGUGCAGUGGCAGUAUCAUAGCCAAUGAGGUUAAUCCAAGGCAUAAUUAUUGCUAGUUGAAAACUUAGUUUUAUAGUU
ensembl:snRNA U4 U4 spliceosomal RNA